rnacentral:rRNA from 1 species
UACGAGGGGGGCGAGCGUUGUUCGGAAUUAUUGGGCGUAAAGGGUGCGUAGGCGGUUUGGUAAGUCUGAUGUGAAAUCUAUGGGCUCAACUCAUAGUCUGCAUCGGAAACUGCCGGGCUUGAGUGUGGGAGAGGUGAGUGGAAUUCCUGGUGUAGCGGUGAAAUGCGUAGAUAUCAGGAGGAACACCUGUGGCGAAGGCGGCUCACUGGCCCGGUACUGACGCUGAGGUGCGAAAGCGUGGGGAGCGAACAGG